ACUUGAUCCAUCGUCCUUGAUUCUGUUCCUCUUAUGUAUUUGUUACAUAGAAUGCCCCUGCCUGCAGAACCCAUGCUCCCGCGCAUUAAAUUUCCCUUGUUACAGGUACCGGUUGGCUGAAGGAUCGGUCAUAAUGCAGGCUUGUAAGAUGCAAGGAAGUAAGCGAUAAAUACGUUUUUGGUGGAUGUGAAAAGCCAGAAGCUGACAAGUGGGGAUUCAUGUCCUGAUUAGCCAAAUCGCAACUAAUCAGGUAUCCAUUCUAGUUCUAUUGGUUUGCAGAUUCUUUCUGUUAAUUUGUUUUUCUAGGCAGGAGAUGCGUUUAGUAGCAUC